CAGCCGCCGCGGUAAUACAGAGGGUGCGAGCGUUAAUCGGAUUUACUGGGCGUAAAGCGUGCGUAGGCGGCUUCUUAAGUCGGAUGUGAAAUCCCUGAGCUUAACUUAGGAAUUGCAUUCGAUACUGGGAAGCUAGAGUAUGGGAGAGGAUGGUAGAAUUCCAGGUGUAGCGGUGAAAUGCGUAGAGAUCUGGAGGAAUACCGAUGGCGAAGGCAGCCAUCUGGCCUAACACUGACGCUGAGGUACGAAAGCAUGGGGAGCAAACAGGAUUAGAUACCCCUGUAGUCCCUGUCUCUUAUAC
rnacentral:rRNA from 1 species